UACAGAGGUGCCGAGCGUUACGCGGAAUCACUGGGCUUAAAGGGCGCGUAGGCGGGCUGUCAAGUCGGUGGUGAAAUCUUUCGGCUCAACCGGAAAAUUGCCUUCGAUACUGGCGGCCUGGAGGGCGGUAGGGGCAUGCGGAACUUCCGGUGGAGCGGUGAAAUGCGUAGAUAUCGGAAGGAACACCGAUGGCGAAAGCAGCGGGCUGGACCGUUUCUGACGCUGAGGCGCGAAAGCGAGGGGAGCAAACGGG
rnacentral:rRNA from 1 species